GACGAACGCUGGCGGCGUGCCUAAUACAUGCCAGUUGAGCGCUGAAGGUUGGUACUUGUACCAACUGGAUGAGCAGCGAACGGGUGAGUAACGCGUGGGGAAUCUGCCUUUGAGUGGGGGACAACAUUUGGAAACGAAUGCUAAUACCGCAUAAAAACUUUAAACACAAGUUUUAAGUUUGAAAGAUGCAAUUGCAUCACUCAAAGAUGAUCCCGCGUUGUAUUAGCUAGUUGGUGAGGUAAAGGCUCACCAAGGCGAUGAUACAUAGCCGACCUGAGAGGGUGAUCGGCCACAUUGGGACUGAGACACGGCCCAAACUCCUACGGGAGGCAGCAGUAGGGAAUCUCCGGCAAUGGACGAAAGUCUGACCGAGCAACGCCGCGUGAGUGAAGAAGGUUUUCGGAUCGUAAAACUCUGUUGGUAGAGAAGAACGUUGGUGAGAGUGGAAAGCUCAUCAAGUGACGGUAACUACCCAGAAAGGGACGGCUAACUACGUG
rnacentral:rRNA from 1 species